rnacentral:snRNA from 1 species
GAAUGUGAGGGUAAUCUGGCUAUUGAUCACCAGAGUUGAUUCAGCUGAUCUGGCUGGCUAGGCAGGUGUCCCCUUCUUCCCUUGCCACUUCAUGUGUGUCCCUCCUGAAGCUGCACUCUCGGUUGAAGAGGAUGAACUUCUUCCUUCCAUAGUAGAAGACCAGUCUGGUCUAAAGGUAUAGGAGUAGCUGUGCUCCCCAGCUAGAAUCUCUAAAUAAGCUCUCAAAACCCCACAAAAUAGCCAUGAGUGGUGGCAUUGGUCUUUAAUUCCAGCACUCAGCAGGCAGAGCCAGGUGGAUCUAUAUGUGAGUUUGA